rnacentral:rRNA from 1 species
AUUGAACGCUGGCGGCAUGCCUAACACAUGCAAGUCGAACGGCAGCGCGGGGUAACCUGGCGACGAGUGGCGAACGGGUGAGUAAUGCAUCGGAACGUGCCCUGGAAUGGGGGAUAACGUAGCGGAAGUUACGCUAAUACCGCAUAUUCUGUGAGCAGGAAAGCAGGGGAUCGCAAGACCUUGCGUUCUGGGAGCGGCCGAUGUCGGAUUAGCUAGUUGGUGGGGUAAAGGCCUACCAAGGCGACGAUCCGUAGCGGGUCUGAGAGGAUGAUCCGCCACACUGGGACUGAGACACGGCCCAGACUCCUACGGGAGGCAGCAGUGGGGAAUUUUGGACAAUGGGCGGAAGCCUGAUCCAGCCAUGCCGCGUGAGUGAAGAAGGCCUCGG